rnacentral:rRNA from 1 species
UGGGGAAUAUUGGACAAUGGGCGCAAGCCUGAUCCAGCAAUGCCGCGUGGGUGAAGAAGGCCUUCGGGUUGUAAAGCCCUUUUGUACGGGAAGAAAAGCUCCGGAAUAAUACUUCGGGGUCAUGACGGUACCGUAAGAAUAAGCACCGGCUAACUUCGUGCCAGCAGCCGCGGUAAUACGAAGGGUGCAAGCGUUAAUCGGAAUUACUGGGCGUAAAGCGUGCGUAGGUGGUUAGUUAAGUCUGUCGUGAAAGCCCUGGGCUCAACCUGGGAAUGGCGAUGGAUACUGGCUGACUAGAGUGCGGUAGAGGGUAGCGGAAUUUCCGGUGUAGCGGUGAAAUGCGUAGAGAUCGGAAGGAACAUCCGUGGCGAAGGCGGCUACCUGGACCAGCACUGACACU